ACUUUCGGCCUUCAUUGGCAUCAUUCAGCUUCAUUACAGGUUACAGGAUUACAUAAAAUGUUAUGCUUUAUCAAUUCACUUAAUAAAAAAAAAUAUAUUGUCAACUGAGAAGUAAAAAAGCUGUUUAUCGUUUAAACCGCUUUUGUUUUUCUAUACUAUUUGUGUAAUCUGAUGGAGUAAUAAAUCACCAUUUGGUUGAUAAAAGCAUUCCCUUGCACAAGAAUUUUGGUUUCAAAUUUUUUAUCAAAAAGGAGCUGGUCCAUGUACUGAAAGGAGAGAUUGACUGUCAAUUAAAUUCGUAGUAUUGAAAACAUCGAAGAAAACAUGUAUUAUCUUAUUUGUUCAAUCAAUUGAUUAAAAUUGACGCAUAACUUUCCACUGUACAAUGUUGCUUUAAAUUCGACCAAACAUAUUGCCUACGUUUAGCACAAUGCUAUGAACAGCCACACAAAAACUGCUGUUAAGAAAAAGUACACUGUCAAUUCCAAAGGCACUCAAACAAAGAGGAUGACGCAUUUUAAAGAGUAGCGUCAUAGUGAAAAUGUCAACAGAGCUUAUGAAAACAUAGACGCGGUUUUGGAAAAAGUAAUCCUACGCAAUGGAAAGUUAGCCUUGAAGCAUCAAAGUAAAAAGUAAAGAGGUGAAGUAGGAUGUAAUAAUAAGAAAAAAUACCAGGAAA